CCAGCAGCCGCGGUAAUUCCAGCUCCAAUAGCGUAUAUUAAAGUUGUUGCAGUUAAAAAGCUCGUAGUUGAAUUUCUGGCCGGCGCUGUUCACGGCUCUCGCAGUCGGUUCAGGAGCCUGGUCAUCCGUAUGGGAAGCUAGCACGUCCUUCAGUGGUCGGCUAGUGGAUCAUACACUUUACUUUGAAAAAAUUAGAGUGUUUCAGGCAGGCAAUUGCUUGGAUACUGCAGCAUGGAAUAAUGGAAUAGGACUUUGACCUAUUUGUUGGUUUCUUGAGGUCAAAGUAAUGAUUAAUAGGGACAGUUGGGGGCAUCCGUAUUUAAUUGUCAGAGGUGAAAUUCUUG
rnacentral:rRNA from 1 species